CCUGAGGGUUGCUCCAGUAAGAAUGAGCUGAUAUGUAAUAUUUUACAAUAAAUUUGAUUGCUUUAGAACUUAGAAGCCAUUUAAUAUACUGUACCACAGACAUACUGACUAGUAUUUACCUCAUAACCGAUGUAUUCUUCCAGUGUUCCUCUAAACAAGCUUUUGUCUUUCGUAAAUAAUUUCUUCUUUCUUUCUUUUUCUUAGCGCAACUCUUCUUCGCUUGGAUAUUCAAGGCGGGAAGAGUGGUCAGGGCCUUCUCAAGGGAUACAUUAAACACUUGUUGGAAUACUGGGUUAAUUUCAUCAUACACCGUCUGUGCGCCAGUCUGGUAUUCUCGUCGUGUACACUUGAUCUGUACAGGCUGUUUAUUUACAUUAGCUGCUAUAUUUUGAGCCACAACCACAGGAUUUUUUUUAAGAAAGCCUUGAAAUUGCCUUGAAUUAACCGGGAAUAAAGCCUGAUACACGGAGUAUCUGUGACAACAGCUGGGGCAAUCCAUCAAGCUGUGUUCAUCUUUGCGCGUAGUGGAUAAUUCUUUCCAGCUAUCGGCAGAGAAAGCUUUCAGGUAUUGGUCUCGUUCUCUGUAUUUACGGGGAUUCCAACCACUGAACUUCUUACGCAAGUCUGGCAGCUUUCUCUCAAAGGUUUUGUAGUCCACUGUAAACUUCGUGCUGCCAAACAUUUGGCAGAAGAGUUCGUGAAUAGCCUGUACAGUACGCACGCGAUGCUGAUAUGGUGUUUCAGUGUCAACGCGCUUUAUGUUAACUACAGCAUCUUUCGUAAAUCGCCAAAUUGCUGCCUUGGCAAAUCCACACGUAUGUGGGUGAAUAAAACUGACAACCAUGGCGAUAAAGUAGAAUUUUGAUGUAUUUUUAUAGCUUUGUGCGGACUUCGAGACGUGAGUCUAUCGAAGCAAAUUUUGAAUCUGGCGC